rnacentral:lncRNA from 1 species
AAUGUCUCAUUUCAAGUGAAAUGAAAUCUCUUUCUUAUUGGAUGCUUAAUGGGUGUGCUUAGGUUUUUAAAUUCCAUAAAAAUAAUCCUUGUUAUAUUUUAUGAAAUAAGUCUACGUUACGCCUCAGAUAUUCUAAAUUAUCAAUGCACAGAUCAAGUAAAGAAAUGCUAAACAAUGUUAUUACGCACUUCAUGUUUUUGCGCGUAUUUAAUCAAGAAUAUACUGUUGUCACACUGUUAUGUUUUUUGGAAGACCAUGGUCACCAGGAGUAUCUUAAUUUGAAUAACCUCAUAAUGCAUACCAGUGGGUUCAAUAAAAAUAAAUACGUCUCAAACACUC